GACAGAGGGUGCAAACGUUGCUCGGAAUUACUGGGCGUAAAGCGCGUGUAGGCGGGCUGGAAAGUCGGGCGUGAAAUCCCCAGGCUCAACCUGGGAACUGCACUCGAAACUCCCCAGUCUAGAGUGGUGGAGAGGGAAGUGGAAUUCCUGGUGUAGAGGUGAAAUUCGUAGAUAUCAGGAGGAACACCAGUGGCGAAGGCGGCUUCCUGGACACCAACUGACGCUGAGGCGCGAAAGCUAGGGGGAGCAAACGGG
rnacentral:rRNA from 1 species